UAAGGUGGUUAUUGCGUCGGGGCUCACCUCUUCCCAUUCCGAACAGAGCAGUUAAGCCCGAUUGCGCAGAUGGUACUGCAGUUAUGUGGGAGAGUAUGUCGCCGCCUUUU
rnacentral:rRNA from 1 species